rnacentral:rRNA from 1 species
GAUUCGUCACACUAUCAUUAACUGAAUCCAUAGGUUAAUGAGGCGAACCGGGGGAACUGAAACAUCUAAGUACCCCGAGGAAAAGAAAUCAACCGAGAUUCCCCCAGUAGCGGCGAGCGAACGGGGAGGAGCCCAGAGCCUGAAUCAGCAUGUGUGUUAGUGGAAGCGUCUGGAAAGGCGCGCGAUACAGGGUGACAGCCCCGUACACAAAAGCGCAUGUGCUGUGAGCUCGAUGAGUAGGGCGGGACACGUGGUAUCCUGUCUGAAUAUGGGGGGACCAUCCUCCAAGGCUAAAUACUCCUGACUGACCGAUAGUGAACCAGUACCGUGAGGGAAAGGCGAAAAGAACCCCGGCGAGGGGAGUGAAAAAGAACCUGAAACCGUGUACGUACAAGCAG